rnacentral:misc_RNA from 1 species
AGUUGGGAUACUUACUCCUUCACUUUCAGUUGGGGGUACUUACUCCUUCACUCUCGGGACAGCCUUUUGGUUCUGAGGUACCGUAAGGGUCUGAUCCCUUCACCCAGGUAACUUUUCAGUUGUGGGUACUUACUCCUUCACCCAGGACAGCCUUUUGGUUGUGAGGUACUGUACGGGUCUAAUGUAGCCAUCCUUAUCCCUCCACCCAGG